rnacentral:rRNA from 1 species
CUUAUGUGGCUUAAAGUCAAACUAAUUGAAAAUGGAAUUUGAAACAUCAAAAAAUUUAGUAGUGGAGAAGGAAACUUAAUAUAAGAAUAAAAGUACUGUAAAGGAACAAAGCUAAAUAUAAAGAAAUUAGUUCAACUCGCGUACUUUUCGCAUCACGGCUUAGCAAGAACUGACUUAAGGCUUUAGAUUCUCGAAAGUUGGCGAGCUAUUUUUUCCCGGGGACUAGACCUAAUUCUUAGAAAUUACUCAAAAUGUAGCAAAAUUUUAGUAAGAGGGAAAAAUAGAGAUGAAAUUUUAUUCGCGCUAACGAUAGCUAGUUUCCCCAGAAACGUAUAGAAGUACUAAAAUAAAAUUAAGCCAAAGAAAUACCCAUUCUCUGGAUUGUUUUAAUAUUUAAGAUUUUUAAGGAUAAGCUUGAAAAUACCCGGUAAAAAAUAUAUACAAAAUUCAUAACGUAGGCUUGAAAUUGGCCAUCAUAAAAAACUUGUUACAAAGUAGUUUUUAGAUUUUAUAAAAUAAAUAUAUUCUUGUUCCGGCCCUUAUGGGGAUAAAAAAUAAAACCAAUUGAUUUUUUAACCUAUGCUAAGAUGAGUAUUAAAAAUCUCAAUUAAAGGUCAAGAGCAAUAUAAUUUUAGCCCUUACAAAAGAAGCAGAAAAUUGGAGUUAAAUAAAAGGAAGGAACUCGGCAAAAUAAAUUGCUUCGCCUGUUUAUCAAAAACAUGGCUCUCUGCCUCUAAAAAAUAGAGAGUCGGACCUGCCCAGUGAAGAUUUUCAACGGCCGCGGUACUCUGACCGUGCAAAGGUAGCAUAAUCAUUUGCCUUAUAAUUGAAGGCUUGUAUGAAUGGUUUGACGAGAGCAAUACUGUCUCCCUUUUAAUUAAUAGAACUUAACCUUUAGGUGAAGAGGCCUAAAUUUGAUUGAAGGACAAGAAGACCCUGUCGAGCUUAAAAGAAAGGUAGAAAAAUGGGCUAUAUUAAUCAUAGAUGUACUACUACUAAAGCUUUUUGGUUGGGGCGACUAAGGAACAAAAAAAGCUUCUUUAAAUAAAUAAACCUAUUAGUGAUGAUCCAGCAUACCUGAUUAAAAGAAUUAGUUACCGCAGGGAUAACAGCAUAAUCUCCCUUGAGAGGCCUAAUCGAAAGGGGGGGUUGUGACCUCGAUGUUGGACUAGAAUAUCCUAAAGAUGUAGAAGUCUUUAAGGGUUGGUCUGUUCGACCAUUAAAAUUCUACAUGAUCUGAGUUC